CACGUAGGGGCCGAACGUUGUCCGGAUUUAUUGGGCGUAAAGGGCUCGUAGGCGGUUUGACAAGUCGGUCGUGAAAGCCCGGGGCUCAACCCCGGGACGCCGGUCGAAACUGUCAUGACUAGGGUCCGGUAGAGGUGAGUGGAAUUCUCGGUGUAGCGGUGAAAUGCGCAGAUAUCGAGAGGAACACCAGUAGCGAAGGCGGCUCACUGGGCCGGUACCGACGCUGAGGAGCGAAAGCGUGGGGAGCAAACAGG
rnacentral:misc_RNA from 1 species